rnacentral:rRNA from 1 species
GACGAAGGUGGCGACCGUUGUUCGGAAUCACUGGGCAUAAAGAGCACGUAGGCGGCAGGGUAUGUCGGGUGUGAAAUCCCUCGGCCUAACCGAGGAAUUGCGCCCGAAACUACCUUGCUUGAGGAUGGAAGGGGAGCGUGGAAUUCCUGGUGGAGCGGUGAAAUGCGUUGAUAUCAGGAGGAACACCAAUGGCGAAGGCAGCUCGCUGGGACGGUACUGACGCUGAGGCGCGAAAGCGUGGGGAGCAAACAGG